UAACUCACUAAAUCUAUUACGUGUUAACGAUCCCGUACGCUUGCGGGUUUCACACGAACACAGUGCAAGAAGAGGAAGGAUCUACCUGCCGCAGGAUGAAUUGGCACGGGCAGGGCUCUCGGAUGAUGACAUUUUUGCUCGGAAAAUAACUGAUAAAUGGAUAAGUUUUAUGAAAAUGCAAAUUACAUUGGCACGGGCAGGGCUUUCUUGAGUGGCACGAGGACAUGAAAACUGAAAAUUCUCUGCAGUUCUUGCGUAUGGGUGAAGAAGGUCUUCGGCAUCCAGAGAUCAGUUGUUGAUACACAAAAUUGGUUUCAAAGUCAAUAGAAGACACAGAUGUUGGGGAGUUCAUCGUCCAAGUACCUCAUGUUAAGCAAGUGAAGAUUAUUAAUCUAUUAGCCUAAAAGAAAAUUAACAUUGCAAAUUGUCAUAUUAAAAUAUUUCAAGUUCUUAGCUUGCUGUUUGAUGUUAACUUUCAAUGCUUGGGGAAGACUUAAAACUGCUUCUGACGAUAUAUGGAAUGCUUUAUCAUCUGUAAUAUUACCCAGUCUUAUUCAGUUUUACUUGCAGAACUUGCUGCAAAGGUGGAUGGUAAGGUAUGCAUACUAAUAAAUAUUUAAUUGUGCAAA